UACGUAGGGUGCUAGCGUUGUCCGGAAUUAUUGGGCGUAAAGAGCUUGUAGGUGGCUCGUUGCGUCGGGAGUGAAAACCUGCGGCUUAACCGCAGGCCUGCUUCCGAUACGGGCGAGCUAGAGUUCGGCAGGGGAGACUGGAAUUCCUGGUGUAGCGGUGGAAUGCGCAGAUAUCAGGAGGAACACCGGUGGCGAAGGCGGGUCUCUGGGCCGAUACUGACACUGAGGAGCGAAAGCGUGGGGAGCGAACAGG
rnacentral:rRNA from 1 species